rnacentral:rRNA from 1 species
UAAUACGGAGGGUGCAAGCGUUGUUCGGAAUUACUGGGCGUAAAGCGCGCGUAGGUGGUCUGUUAUGUCAGAUGUGAAAGUCCACGGCUCAACCGUGGAAGUGCAUUUGAAACUGGCAGACUUGAGUACUGGAGGGGGUAGUGGAAUUCCCGGUGUAGAGGUGAAAUUCGUAGAUAUCGGGAGGAAUACCGGUGGCGAAGGCGACUACCUGGCCAGAUACUGACACUGAGGUGCGAAAGCGUGGGGAGCGAACAGGAUUAGAUACCCUGGUAGUCCACGCCGUAAACGAUGUCAACUAGGUGUUGGGAUGGUUAAUCGUCUCAUUGCCGCAGCUAACGCAUUAAGUUGACCGCCUGGGGAGUACGGUCGCAAGAUUA